rnacentral:lncRNA from 1 species
ACACAUACACGCACACAAUUACACAUACAUGUACAUAUACACACACGCACACACAUACAUAAUAAGCUUAAAGUAUUGACUAAAGAAAGUAAAUUAAUAUUAGGGCACAGAAGCCCUUCACAGAAAAAAGUGGCUUUUCCAUAUACAUAUGGAAAACCCACUUUUUUUCUGUCAAGCGCUUAUGCACCCCCAAUUUUAGAUUACUUUCUUUACAACAGAAGAAAGUGGAUUUUCCGUGCACAUGUAGAAAACCCACUGUUUUCUGUCGGGGACUUAUGCAUGCCUAUAUUAGAUUAUUUUCUUUAUUCAAUACUGAGUGACCGCUGAUAAGCUUUAAGCUUAUAGAUUAUUAUUAUCAUUAUUAUCAUUUACAGAAUUGUCAAAUUGGGCACAGCUUUUUAAACACACACACACUCAUUGCAUGACUAAUUCAACUAAGUGACAAGUGUAUCAUCUCUCUACCAAGACUGUAACAAGUUAGUAACAAAUCCUAAAUGAUAAAGUAAUACAAUAAAAGUAAUACAAAACAAUACCAGUCACUAUCUUAUUUGAAUUUUCUUUUUCUCAUUUUCUUUUCUUUCGACUUUAUGUGUGCAAGCGGCCACCUCAUCAACAACUUCACCAUGCCUUUUUCCAAUUAGAAACAAGUGGUUACACUGAUUCAGAUGGAGUAACCAAUUUACAUUGGAAGAGAAAUGAAAUCCAGAAUGAAGGCAAUAUUAAAUUGGUUAAUAAAACAUAUAUUAUCAUACCUGAAGAUGGCACGUACCAAAUAAACUGUGCAGUGCAAUUGUACAUUGAAGCAAGUACUCCUUCAUUCAUCGUUACCUUGAUGCUGCAGAAGAAGAAUAAUGGAAAAGAGUAUGUAUUUAUGAAGAAAAGUACAAAUUCCUUAAAUAUACCGGAACAUGCCAUAAUACAAUUAUCUUUUGGAUACAAAUUUGAAACUAAUGAUGAAAUCGUUUUGAAGAUGAACAAUCUAAAAUUCAUCAGCCCCAAUAUGUUCUCCAGUUACUUGAUUAUCACCAGUUUAAAGCAUAAAUAAGGAAAAAUAAAACGUUGGAGUUGUGGUUUA